rnacentral:lncRNA from 1 species
UUUUUUUUUUCCCAUGAGCUAGGCUGUGAUCCAAGCAGGGCAUGUAUUUUCUGUCAUUUUCAUGGACUGCAAUAGAAAGCUGGAAAUAGAUUUCUCUGGUGUGUGGGAGAGAUCUUACUGUCUGAUUAUCUAGAGGCCAGGGAUAUGGAUCUCCAGCUUGCCUUUUUUCUUUUAUUUAUCUCUGUGAAACAAACUGAACUACUUAAGACUGCAGAUCCUGGCCUUCUGCAUAUGAGAUUUGGAAUUUUGACUAACAGCCCUGCAACUAACCAAUGCAGAGAAUGCCUGUUUUCCUAGCUGCUGUUGUUAGGUUUACAUUUUACCUGGAAUUAUCUGAAAAUGCCAGGACCCCCUCAAAGUGUACGUGAUACAACAGUGGGCCAAAAUAUACAAGACUGAGAUGCUUAGGGGACAGUUAUUAGAUCAUAUAUAACAUACUGCACUGUAAAUGAGGAAAAAGUAAAAUGAGGACAGAGUGAAAAAAGCAUGUUUGCACAACAGUGGGAAUAUUGUUAAUAGCCCUGAACUGUACACGGAAAAAGUAUAGAUCUUACAUAUAUUUUGUCACAAUUUAAAAAAAUAUGUUGCUAGCACCUACUCAGCAUCUGUCAUAACCCUUCACACUCCCUUGCCGCUGUGCCAUAUGGAGUCCACUUCGGGGAUGACGCCUGUGUCUGUCUGCUCUCCCAUUCACUGCCGCUAUAGCCCUUGUGAAUGCUGCCUUGAUUAACAUUAAUGCCUCAUCCGUCACUGAACAUACACCCAAGCGCCUAACCAGAAUCUCCAAUUCCUUCUCUCCACCUUUGCAAAUGUUACUCAAUAUCAAUCGACCCAUCUCUCCAGAUACAAGGGCUGACCAGACCAGCAGCCCAAAUUAAGUUCAAGCUCUUUACUCUCAUAUUCAUUAUACACUGAAUCACUCCCAAAUCUAGUCACAGAUUCACUUUCCAGCCUAUCAUAAAACACAUUCUGCAUUAGUGAACAAGGACUCCGUGUUCUUCUGAAAUUAUGCCUCAAUCCUCUUCUGACACCUUGCUUAAAAUAUUACUUCAGCUGUAACAUCCAAUGGCUCUGCUUCCAAAAUUCCAUUUGGAACUAGUUAAAGUGGCAUGUCUUUCAGGACCCCUUUGUUAAUGCUGCGACCUACUUAUUCC